rnacentral:rRNA from 1 species
CCUACGGGCGGCAGCAGUGGGGAAUAUUGGGCAAUGGAGGCAACUCUGACCCAGCAACGCAGCGUGAAUGAUGAAGGUCUUCGGAUUGUAAAGUUCUGUGAUGGGGGAUGAACACAAUGACGGUACCCCAAUAGCAAGCCACCGAUAACUACGUGCCAGCAGCCGCUGUACUACGUAGGUGGCAAGCGUUAUCCGGAAUGACUGGGUGUAAAGGGUGCGUAGGUGGUUUAGUAAGUUGGCGGUGUAAUUCCGGGGCUCAACCUCGAGACUGCAGUUAAGACUGGUAGACUAGAGUUCAGGAGAGGUAGGCGGAAUUCCUAGUGUAGCGGUGGAAUGCGUAGAUAUUAGGAAGAACAUCAAGGGCGAAGGCAGCUUACUGGACUGUAACUGACACUGAGGCACGAAAGCGUGGGGAGCAAACAGGAUUAGAUACCCGAGUAGUC